rnacentral:rRNA from 1 species
UAAGCAAUUAUACCGUGAAACUGCGAAUGGCUCAUUAAAUCAGUUAUCGUUUAUUUGAUAGUACCUUACUACUUGGAUAACCGUGGUAAUUCUAGAGCUAAUACAUGCUGAAAACCCCAACUUCGGGAGGGGUGUAUAUAUUAGAUAAAAAACCAACGCCCUUCGGGGCUUCUUGGUGAUUCAUGAUAUCUUUACGGAUCGCAUGGCCUUGCGCCGGCGACGGUUCAUUCAAAUUUCUGCCCUAUCAACUUUCGAUGGUAAGGUAUUGGCUUACCAUGGUUUCAACGGGUAACGGGGAAUUAGGGUUCGAUUCCGGAGAGGGAGCCUGAGAAACGGCUACCACAUCCAAGGAAGGCAGCAGGCGCGCAAAUUACCCAAUCCCGACACGGGGAGGUAGUGACAAUAAAUACUGAUACAGGGCUCUUUUGGGUCUUGUAAUUGGAAUGAGUACAAUUUAAACCUCUUAACGAGGAACAAUUGGAGGGCAAGUCUGGUGCCAGCAGCCGCGGUAAUUCCAGCUCCAAUAGCGUAUAUUAAAGUUGUUGCAGUUAAAAAGCUCGUAGUUGAACCUUGGGUCUGGCUGGCAGGUCCGCCUCACCGCGUGUACUUGUCCGGCCGGGCCUUCCUUCUGGAGAACCUCAUGCCCUUCACUGGGCGUGUUGGGGACCAGGACUUUUACUUUGAAAAAAUUAGAGUGUUCAAAGCAGGCCUUUGCUCGAAUACGUUAGCAUGGAAUAAUAGAAUAGGACGUGCGGUCCUAUUUUGUUGGUUUCUAGGACCGCCGUAAUGAUUAAUAGGGACAGUCGGGGGCAUCAGUAUUCAAUUGUCAGAGGUGAAAUUCUUGGAUUUAUUGAAGACUAACUACUGCGAAAGCAUUUGCCAAGGAUGUUUUCAUUAAUCAGUGAACGAAAGUUAGGGGAUCGAAGACGAUCAGAUACCGUCGUAGUCUUAACCGUAAACUAUGCCGACUAGGGAUCGGGCGAUGUUCUUUUUCUGACUCGCUCGGC